AGUGAACGCUGGCGGUAGGCCUAACACAUGCAAGUCGAACGGCAGCACAGUAAGAGCUUGCUCUUACGGGUGGCGAGUGGCGGACGGGUGAGGAAUACAUCGGAAUCUACUUUUUCGUGGGGGAUAACGUAGGGAAACUUACGCUAAUACCGCAUACGACCUACGGGUGAAAGCAGGGGAUCUUCGGACCUUGCGCGAUUGAAUGAGCCGAUGUCGGAUUAGCUAGUUGGCGGGGUAAAGGCCCACCAAGGCGACGAUCCGUAGCUGGUCUGAGAGGAUGAUCAGCCACACUGGAACUGAGACACGGUCCAGACUCCUACGGGAGGCAGCAGUGGGGAAUAUUGGACAAUGGGCGCAAGCCUGAUCCAGCCAUACCGCGUGGGUGAAGAAGGCCUUCGGGUUGUAAAGCCCUGUUGUUGGGAAAGAAAAGCAGAAGGUUAAUACCCCGCUGUUCUGACGGUACCCAAAGAAUAAGCACCGGCUAACUUCGUG
rnacentral:rRNA from 1 species